CGAUGACAUCCUUACAUUUUUAUGUCUAUAGGAAGACAAGAGACUCACAGAGAAAAAUCCCUCUAGCCAACUAACUGAAAGCACAGUGCCUAAGGCCUGAACUUCCUGCACUAUCUGAUAUGGCAAACCAGGAGGGCCAAUAUUCUACAGGUAAAACAUAUUGCUUUAGUGUGCUGGUGGGAGCUUAAUACUCAACAUAAUAGUCAACCUCCUAUAUCAUGAUAUUCCCAAUGUGGGAAUAUAAAAAGAGUUUUGCUUUUUUAAUGAAGCAAUCUGCAUUUCCUUUUUAAAAAGCUGUUUUGGACCUUUACCUCCAUAUUCCAGUCAUCAAGGAACGACAAUAGUUUCUAGCCGUUAACCUGGUUUGGUGUUACUAUUCCAAAUAGAAACAGAGAAAAGCAUUGACAAUAGAGCCUUCUGGCUUGUCUCUCAUGGAAAACCUGGAUCGCAUACUAGGUGGAAUAAAUAAACAGAUCCGUUGUUUAUUCUUGGUGCAUAAAAUGGAAAUGAAGAAAUAUUUAUUGCUACUCCACCGUAAAUCAUUUAAGACACUGUGCCUUUGUUUAGGCAGCACAGAAGCCUCAUUUAGUGACAUUCAUUCUUUAAAUCUUCAUAUAGAAUUCUUAAUCACUGCUGUUUUCUUCAUCAGAUACGAUGACUUAGAGCAAAUAAUCUAUUUCAUGAAAUAUUUGUGUUGAAGUCUCAGUUUACAACUAGCACAUCUACAGCAGACCUGCCCAAUUUGUGACUGGCCAAGUUGAGCACACCACUUGAGGCAUGUAUUGUGGUUCACCAAGGACUUGAUAAAGUACCUGGUACUCCUGUCUGCCCGGAACUGCAAAAACAAGUGGAUCAGCAAGCAGGGGUGUUUUUAGGUACCCAUUUAUAUGUACAAAUGAACAUUUAGGUCUCUGAUCAAAUUAAGAGGGUGGCUGGUUGUGGUUUCUUUUUUGAAAAGUUUAAAAAUAGAGGGCUAGUUGCAGGAGAUCCCAGGGCCUAGUACCAAAGGUCUGCAGUUCAUGACCAUGGACCACUCUCAUAACAUUGCCCCUGUUGUCAAGCACUUGCUUGGUGGACUGUCUUUGGCUUGGUGUGGCAGGUCACUUGUUGAGGAGUCCUGAUCCACUAGAAGGGAAUUCAUUUGCUCAGGGUGCUCUGAGCCUUCUGAUCCAGUGUGCACACUCUUCAUUUAAACUGUAGAUAAUCACCCAAAGAUACAAUUCCCUGCACCCUUAAUAAACUACAGUUCCCAGGAUUCCUUGGGGGAAGCCUUGUGUUUAAAUGUGCUUUAAAUGAGUAGUGGUGUGCGUGCGUGACCUAAUUCUGGUCUUAAUUUAAUCUUUAAGGCACGCAAAUGCACAGCUGCUUGUGCAACUGCAAACUAGAAGUGCAAACAAACUGUUGUUUGUUUUGUACUUAAUUCACAGAGCUUCAUAGAUCACAGCUUCUAUCCCUUGUCUUUUAUGGGUCUAACUCUCUUUGUUUAUCCUGAUGUCCACCCUUUCCAUGCAAGUGGAUUAAUUAAGCUUUACAUAUCUAGUUAAACUUCAUGUUUACAUUUUUUUAUUCUGAAGCAGAGCAACCAGCAUUGGGAAACAGGGAACUAAGCACAAAUUGAAGGCGAUGUGUAGGUGCCGCCGACCAGCAUCAUACACCUCAUGCCAAGUAAGCUUUGAUAAAAGAAGUGUGUGAUGUGACACAUUGUCACAUCCACAUUUUGACUCCCUGCAGGUGACAGCAAAUGAGUUGGAGUGAAAACAUGGGAAUGAUGAGCAAGAUGGCUGACGUCUCUACCAAACAUUAAUCAGAAGAAAUACAGUAGAGGAGGGGCCUGGUCCGGAAUGUAUCCCCCCUUACCUUUACUUAGUUGUCAGACUAAACAGGUCUGACACACUCCUGCAUGAGCGUCAAAGGCAAAAAGCAGCAGCUUGCUUUUUCUUAAAUAUUUGAAUAUGUCUAAAUGAAUCUGCAGUUAUGUUUCACUAA